GGGUUUAAAGGGUGUGUAGGCGGGCCAUUAAGUCUGUGGUGAAAUCUCCGAGCUCAACUCGGAAACUGCCUUGGAUACUAUUGGCCUUGAAUUAUGUUGAGGUUGGCGGAAUAUAACAUGUAGCGGUGAAAUGCAUAGAUAUGUUAUAGAACACCGAUUGCGAAGGCAGCUAACUAAGCAUAUAUUGACGCUGAUGCACGAAAGCGUGGGGAUCAAACAGGAUUAGAUACCCUGGUAGUCCACGCCCUAAACGAUGAUUACUCGUCAUUUGCGAUACACAGUGAGUGACCAAGCGAAAGCGUUAAGUAAUCCACCUGGGAAGUACGUCCGCAAGGAUGAAACUCAAAGAAAUUGACGGUGGUCCGCACAAGCGGUGGAGCAUGUGGUUUAAUUCGAUGAUACGCGAGGAACCUUACCUGGGCUAGAAUGUGAGCGACUGUGUCUGAAAGGAUACAUUCCGCAAGGACGCGAAACAAGGUGCUGCAUGGCUGUCGUCAGCUCGUGCCGUGAGGUGUUGGGUUAAGUCCCGCAACGAGCGCAACCCCCAUCUUUAGUUGCCAGCGAGUCAUGUCGGGAACUCUAAAGAAACUGCCGCCGUAAGGCGUGAGGAAGGAGGGGACGAUGUCAAGUCAUCAUGGCCUUUAUGCCCAGGGCUACACACGUGCUACAAUGGUAAGGACAAAGGGCAGCUACCAAGCGAUUGGAUGCUAAUCUCAAAAACCUUAUCUCAGUUCGGAUUGCAGCUGCAACUCGCCUGCAUGAAGCUGGAAUCGCUAGUAAUCGCGCAUCAGCAUGGCGCGUGAUACGUUCCCGGACCUUGUACACACCGCC
rnacentral:rRNA from 1 species